AUGAACGCUGGCGGCGUGCCUAAUACAUGCCAGUCGAGCGAACAGACGAGGAGCUUGCUCCUCUGACGUUAGCGGCGGACGGGUGAGUAACACGUGGAUAACCUACCUAUAAGACUGGGAUAACUUCGGGAAACCGGAGCUAAUACCGGAUAAUAUAUUGAACCGCAUGGUUCAAUAGUGAAAGACGGUUUUGCUGUCACUUAUAGAUGGAUCCGCGCCGCAUUAGCUAGUUGGUAAGGUAACGGCUUACCAAGGCAACGAUGCGUAGCCGACCUGAGAGGGUGAUCGGCCACACUGGAACUGGGAAACGGUCCAGACUCCUACGGGAGGCAGCAGUAGGGAAUCUUCCGCAAUGGGCGAAAGCUUGAGGAGCAACGCCGCGUGAGUGAUGAAGGUCUUCGGAUCGUAAAACUCUGUUAUUAGGGAAGAACAAAUGUGUAAGUAACUAUGCACGUCUUGACGGUACCUAAUCAGAAAGCCACGGCUAACUACGUG
rnacentral:rRNA from 1 species